rnacentral:rRNA from 1 species
GACGAACGCUGGCGGCGUGCUUAACACAUGCAAGUCGAACGGAAAGGCCCUGCUUUUGUGGGGUGCUCGAGUGGCGAACGGGUGAGUAACACGUGAGUAACCUGCCCUUGACUUUGGGAUAACUUCAGGAAACUGGGGCUAAUACCGGAUAGGAGCUCCUGCUGCAUGGUGGGGGUUGGAAAGUUUCGGCGGUUGGGGAUGGACUCGCGGCUUAUCAGCUUGUUGGUGGGGUAGUGGCUUACCAAGGCUUUGGCGGGUAGCCGGCCUGAGAGGGUGAACGGCCACAUUGGGACUGAGAGACGGCCCAGACUCCUACGGGAGGCAGCAGUGGGGAAUAUUGCACAAUGGGCGGAAGCCUGAUGCAGCAACGCCGCGUGCGGGAUGACGGCCUUCGGGUUGUAAACCGCUUUCGCCUGUGACGAAGCGUGAGUGACGGUAAUGGGUAAAGAAGCACCGGCUAACUACGUG